UAUGGCAAUGACAUUUACUUGCUCUGCUCUUCUGUAAGUAUGAGUAGUUCUAUGUUCCUUAUUUGAACAAUAUCAUAACAUUCCAUGCUUGUUCUCAAGCUAUGUUCUCAGACUUUUGGCUGGUACAAGAACAACAAUUGGCAUUGGAAAUUUCUUGUAUAGAGCCCCCAUCACAACAACGGAUAGGAGAGAAAUCUACAUCGGUUGCCUGCAAUAUUGAGUUGUUCUAGUGUUCUCCAUAUUUGCUUUCAUUCUCUUGGAAAGGCACACAGCUAUCUGGAUGAUAAUGAUACACAUUGUGCAGAUAUUGUUCAUACAGGCAAGAAAUACUGUAUGAUGCUACUAACAUAGGAGAGAUUAACUUCGUCAACUGCACAUUCACCGUCUUUCUCCAUUUACCAGGCAUAUUGAUCCAUGCUGCAAGACUAUACCUUCAGUGUGCAAAAAUCGAGCAACACGGACAGAAUUUGGAACUAUAGAACAAAUAGAGAGUAGAAUGUGCACCUUACUGUAAAUGAUGAACAAAUAUUCUUUUGUGUCUAAAGAAUUUGAAUAUUUUUCUUGGCAAAAAAAAUACUGAUGGUUGAUUA